CACAGGCAGCUGGAGCAGAAUCACCUGUACACGGCCUACACUGGCAUCAUGGCCAAGAGCUGUUACACAGGGGAAGGGGAGGAGGAAGAGAAGGAGGAAGAGGGCAAGGAAGAGGAAGAGGUCAAGGACUCGUUCAGAGAGAAGGAGAUGGAGAAGCAGAAGCUGCUG